AACGAACGCUGGCGGCAUGCCUAACACAUGCAAGUCGAACGGGAUCCAGGCUUCGGCCUGGUGAGAGUGGCGGACGGGUGAGUAACGCGUGGGAACCUGCCCAAUGGUCUGGGAUAACCGCGGGAAACUGCGGCUAAUACCGGAUAAGCCCGAGAGGGGAAAGAUUUAUCGCCGAUGGAGGGGCCCGCGUCAGAUUAGGUAGUUGGUGGGGUAAUGGCCUACCAAGCCUACGAUCUGUAGCUGGUCUGAGAGGAUGAUCAGCCACACUGGGACUGAGAUACGGCCCAGACUCUACGGGAGGCAGCAGUGGGAAUAUUGGACAAUGGGGGCAACCCUGAUCCAGCAAUGCCGCGUGAGUGAU
rnacentral:rRNA from 1 species